GGGAUGUGGCUCAGUGAUAGAGUGCUAGUCUAGGACACACAGCUCUUGGGUUCAAUCCCCAGUGCUGUCUCC
rnacentral:tRNA from 1 species